rnacentral:tRNA from 1 species
AGCGGGACAAAGCGAUGGUCGCUUACUGCUUUUAUAAAGCAGGUGGUGAGGGUUCGAUACCCUCUCCCGUAA